UUUGGAAUGCAGACCCGCCGGCACACAACAGCGUCACUGUAAAAUCAGUCUAUUUGAUACAGUCUGUGGUUACAGUGCGCAGGACGAUGAUGGUGUUGCAGAGACAGCCUGAGCCAAGCAGGGACAGAAGGCACUGCAGGCAUCAGAGUAUCUGACAGAGAAAGAGAGUGCACCUACUGUGGAGCAGGAAGAGGGAAACGAUGAGGGGGCCCCACCAACAGACUGAUGUCUGCCCUAUUUGUAAUACUGUGAUUUCAAUCAGCAGGCCCUGGGCAGAUGGAUUGUUUGCUGCUUACUUCAAUUAUGCAUCUGAUGGAAUUCCAGACAUCGUUUCACUACAUGUGACAUUUUCCCUCAGUCUUCAAUGCCGCACUCAUCUUUCUCAAGGACCACGACGCUGUCUUUGACAUGCUAUCACAGGAUCAAGGUAUGACAAUGGAGGUCUUUCAGUCAGUUGAUCCGCCACUUGGGCCCAGACUAUCUCAACAACUCUAGGGUGGAUUCCCAUGUACUUUUGUACCAACAUUCAUGGUCCCCAGAAGAUAAAUCCUACUGACAAUGAGUUCCUAACUCUAGUGCUACCAUGUGGUUGACAUU